ACAUGGUAGAUUAGGUCCACACAGAUAUACAGAUUAUGUGACGUUAUUUAUAUAUAUUAGUAGAUAAGGUGUACAUCGUAGUUACAAAGCGAGUUAAAGUGGCUGUUAUUCGAAAAUAUAUAUAUUGUUGUGGAAAUUCCAAUACGUCACAAAGCAAUAUGGCGAUUGUUUACAUAAUAAUAAUAAAAUUCUUUAUUUAACGAAGGUAAAACAUUUAACAAUUACAUGUUAAUC
rnacentral:lncRNA from 1 species